rfam:Tateyamaria sp. ANG-S1 contig_6, whole genome shotgun sequence.
GCCACGGACAGCAAGUUGCCCGACAUGCAGGCAGGCUGGGAACAGAUGUGUUCCAACGUCAUGGCAGGCCUGUCGGGGCUGAACAUGGUCUAUGAGGCCG